UACGUAGGUGGCAAGCGUUGUCCGGAUUUACUGGGCGUAAAGAGCGCGCAGGCGGUCGCUCAAGUCGCGUGUGAAAGCCCCCGGCUCAACUGGGGAGGGUCACGCGAUACUGAUCGACUGGAAGGCAGGAGAGGGUAGUGGAAUUCCCGGUGUAGUGGUGAAAUGCGUAGAUAUCGGGAGGAACACCAGUGGCGAAGGCGACUCGCUGGACAAGUAUUGACGCUGAGGUGCGAAAGCGUGGGGAGCAAACAGG
rnacentral:rRNA from 1 species